rnacentral:lncRNA from 1 species
GCCAUAUCAUUCACUCUUGUCCCUAUAAUUUCUUGGUAACUCACCAAAGCCCUGACCCGUUUUAAGUGUUUUAACCCUUGAUCACUGAUACCCUGUCCGACUGACGUAGGGCCCCGUAACGUAUGUCAAGGCUCUGCCUAAAUUCGUUGGGGUUCUGUCUCGUGACGUAGGGAUAAAGUAGAAUUGGGUUACUAUACUUAAUGUGGGUGCACUAUAUAUAUUUUAUUAAAUAAUCCAGGAAUUGUACCCAAAAAUAUAACAACCCUCCCGAAUAUUUUUCUGACACCCUACACUUCCUAAAAUACAUCCCGUAUGGGAAAACUAAACCCGAAAUAUAAUAUAGCAUUGAAAAUAAUGGGAAACCAGAAAAAGUAAGUUGAGGCGGGCCGCGUAGACCCACCCCAAACUUAACGCGGGCCGUGUGAGGGUGUAACUGGACUCCACUGAAUUCUUUAGUUCAUGCGGGCCGCGUAAGGCCACACCCUUAGUUUAUGCGGGCCGCGAGGGUCCCAAUUGGUGGCGCAGCCCGGUGAUGACACGUGUCAUCAUCAUGGCAAGGCUAGAUCAUGACCAGGACAAGCUAUACGUUGAUCUGGAGUCAACGCGGGCCGCGUAAGCCCAGCCCAUGUGUUACGCGGGCCGCGAGAAGACCAGUUUCAGCAACUAUAUAAGAAGGCCAUCGGGUUCAACCAGAAUUCGUUCAUUCUUCGUUUCUCAAUCUCAAUUUCUGAAUAGUAGGCUUUAUACACGGGUAUAAUACCCCCCUAAUUAGCGAAGCUCUGCCUCGUUGUAAGUAUCAUAACCCCUGGAUACGUAUUAGGUACUCUGCCCGAUUGAUCUAGGGUUCCGUAACGGCUGUCGUGGUUCUGCCCGACGUAGUCGUUGGAAUGCCGUCUCGGGGAGGAUUAUAACCAGAAAGUCACAAAGGAAAGCCCUAUAAUAGCAAUGUGAGUUGAUCCUUCUUUUUAUGUACUCAUUUUUGUGAGUAAUCCUCUUUUUGUUAACUGUUUUUACAAAACCUCACUUAAUUAAAUACAUACAAAGCAGUUAUUGAGUAUUUGUAAAGAAUACAAUUAUAGUGGAUAUGUUGGGGUUUUGUAUACAAAAUUGGUUACUGGCGUGGUAACAUCCCAUAAGUUGAGUAUGACCGUACCACUGAUGUUAAUUGUGAUGUCUUGGAUACAAAUGUAAUUGCGGAUGUGCCCUCAAUACUGCAAAUUGGUUUUAUUUAAAACUGAUUAAACUGGGAUUCACUCACCAGUAUUUCCUGCUGAUAAAAUGUUUUAAACACGUGUUUCAGGUAACUUAGUGUGAAGCCAAUAAAAGCCAGCUGGAGAGCACUGAAGGCUUGGAAAAGUGGCUAUAAAGUUACCUAAAAUAAAAUAGCUGUUUUUAUUAAUAAAAAUAGGAUUUAUUCCUAUGAAAGCGUGUAUACUGAAAACUUGGGUUUUACCCAUGUGUUUAAUAUUAUGAAAAUGUGGUGGUUUUACUCUGAUAAAAAUAUUUCCUAACUACGGUCCUGAUGAAAAAAAUUCCGCUGCCAAAUUAGACAAUACGCGAUACCACCGAAACUGGCUCACGGCCGCCCGUUCCUGAGGGAUCGGGGGUUGUGACAGAAGGUGGUAUCAGAGCUAUGCCACUGGUUCAAGCCAAAGAAGUGUUCUGCUGACACUUAAGUUUUAAAUUCUGUGUUAGGAAAUUAAUAUAACAAUUUAUGUGUUAUUCUGUGUAGAUAAAUCUUAAUAUUUAUAUUAUGAUUUUUAUGUUUUGAGUUCAGAGUAUGAGUAACCAAUAUGACUAGACGUACCCAUAGCCUACAUAGGCAGAUGUAUUAUACUACACUCUUAUACAAUUAGUAACUUAAGGUAUCACCUUGAGUUAGAUCUCUUCUUAAAUAAAUGAAUGUACCGUAAUAUAUAUAUAUAUGUAUAUGCUACUAUCUGUAUAUUCACCUUACUAGGAAAUAUUAAUACACGUUCAUUUUGUAAAAAUAUUCAUAGAUCAUGGGUAUAAAUUUUAGAUAUUAAAUCUAAAAUCAUAAUUUAUGGUAAAUUUACAUAAGAAAUCGAAUAACAUUAUGUAUCCACCUUGAAUAAAUAAAAGUAUGUUAUUUUAAGUUGAUUCAUAGACUUCAUGAUCUAUACCAUGAUCUAUCCUUAUAAAUGGUGGUAUAGAUUAUGGUAAAUUUCUGAAUUGACCUUAAAUCCAGAAAUCAUGUUAAUAUACAAUAUUAAUUGUAUGUAAAAUAAUAUACAUGUUGUAGUAUAGUACGUUUAUAAUAAACAUACGUUAUA